CUCCAUGAGGCGUGUGAGAGCCUUUUUAACAAGAUUCCUUAUUUACUGGAUGAUGAUUGUGUGAAAGUGUGUUAAAAAGAAAACCCACCAGAAUAAUAGAGGUUUAUCUCUCUGGGCUUUAAACUGUCAAAUAUAUUGAGGUCUGGUUUUGGUGUUGGUAACAUACAGUGAUGUGAGAGGAGGAAUAGGUCGAGGGAGGAGCAACACUGUCAGAGCAGAGCAGAACAGAAAAGGACUCCUACUGUCAGAUGCAUUCAAUAUCUAAACCAGACAGAACACAGAUACUGUCUGUAAGAUGAUGUCACUGCAUUACUGUAUCAUUUUUCAGCUUCUUCUGACCAUACUAAAAGGUGUCAGCUGUGAAGAACUCACUCCAGAUAACGAUGAAGAGUUCAGUUUAGAAGGCAGCACUGUUACUCUGUCCUACACAUACUCCAAUAAAGCUGAUAGCAACGAUUAUUUCUUCUGGUAUCGACAAUAUCCAGGAAAACCACCACAGUUCCUCAUGUACAUCUCAGGGCUCAACUUUACAAGACCAGCAGAGUCUCUAGAAUCAGACACAAAGUUCUCUACUAAACUGUCUGGAGAAAAACAUCUGGAUCUGCAGAUCUCCUCUGCUGCAGUGACUGACUCUGCUGUGUACUACUGUGCUGUGAAGCCCACAGUGACAGGAAACACCAAGACUCUGUACAAAAACCUUUGGAGCAAAGACAACAGAAUACUCCACAACAUCCACUACAGGGAGUCACACACUGUUAAACUUCAGUGUAUUUUAUGAUACAGUCUGGAUUCUUUGUAGUGCUGAUAGAAACAACAGAAAAUUAAGCACUAAAGGUAAAACAGACUGAGAUAAAGUGUUGUUUCAUACGACACAAACUCUGAUGAUAAUGAGGUGUUGUGGGAUAUUAUUUAUAUGAACAAUACAUUCAUAAUGAAGUGUAACAGCAAAUCCUCUGACAUCUAAUAGAGCUCAAAUUAAACUCUGUAGGUCACUUAUUUUGUGAGGCCCUCUCUUACAUAUUCAUAACCACCUUGUGCUGGUAAUUCAUAUCAUUUGUCCAGUUCCAGGUAUAAUUUCAUGGUGUUGAGCUCCCUCUGGUUGUUAGGUUACAUGAAGUCCAUUGCACCAGUCUCUAUUUUAGUUACCGUGUACCUGAAGCUAGUGUGCAGUUCAGCAUUUUCUCUCGGUGAAGUUUUGAGAAUAAAUGCCUGUGAGUAUUACGUAACUUGAUUUGUUGUAUAUUAAUAAUAGUUGGAUGACAAAUGAGGCUGUUUAGUUAGCUGUACCCUGUCUGGUUAGCUAGUCAUGUGCUAAGGUUCAUUUCAAUUGAAUUGAUAUUGCCUACCUGGAAACACUGUAUUUCAUUAUUUUAAUGAUUUUUUAGUUGUUUUAUUUGACAGUGUGGUUGCUAUAGAAGUCUCCCUGUAAAUGUAUUAUUGACCCUUGUGAAUGUAUACUUACCUGUCAGAAUCAGAAAUACUUUAUUGAUCCCCGAAGGGAAACUCUUUGUUACAGCAGCUCGCCUUUACGUCAGUGCACACAGGAGAAAGUACUAGAAAAAAAUAUAAUAUAUAGUGUACCUGUAAAAUGAAAGGAAGCAAAUAACCACAUGGACAACUAAUUGUACUCAGAUAUAUUUUGUUUAUAUCAAGUGCCAAAACCUGCAGUUCCUUCAACUUGAUGCUCCAAAAGUGAGUCAAUCCCCAUAGACCCCCAUGUUAAAAUGCAGCAGAAAUAAACAUGUUUACAUGU